UUUUGGUGGUUUUGACGCUGUGCGAAUGGCUGAGGCCGUCUCUGCGAUGCACUUUCAGCGCGUAGACUUUGUCGUUUUGUACGUUGGUGGUAGCGACGUUUGCAGUGCCAACGCGGACCCUCAGGAUAUACGCGACAAUAUAAGGAAGUUAGUUCUGCAAUUGCAGCACGAUGUGGCCCCCAUGGUGCAUACGUCUUCAAAGUGCUGCCACGUUGCUACAGCUCUGAAGACGCCGAUGCGGAGCGCCAGAUCCAGAAAACGCGCUUGCUGAACCGCAAGCUAACGGCUACGCUGAAACGCCUGCUGUGUGUUCGAAUCUUGAACGCCCAGCAUCGGUUUCUCAAUUCCUCGAAAGAACCACGACGUGCGCUCUUCGCAAUUGAUGGGUACCAUGUGCAUAGAGGCCAAGGGAUCGAUCAGCUGGCCAAAAUCAUUGUCAGUUCUCUUGCCCGUGACUUC
rnacentral:lncRNA from 1 species